AACGAACGCUGGCGGCAUGCCUAACACAUGCAAGUCGAACGAGACCUUCGGGCCUAGUGGCGCACGGGUGCGUAACGCGUGGGAACCUGCCCUUAGGUUCCGAAUAACUCCCUGAAAGGGGUGCUAAUACCGGUUAAUGUCUUCGCACCAAAGAUUUAUCGCCUUUGGAUGGGCCCGCGUUGGAUUCGCUAGUUGGUAGGGUACAAGCCUACCAAGGCGUCGUUCCAGAGCUGGUCUGUGAGGAUGAUUAGCCACACUGGGACUGAGGCACGGCCCAGACUCCUACGGGAGGCAGCGGUGGGGAGUAUUGGACGAUGGGCGAAAGCCUGAUCCAGCAAUGCCGCGUGAGUGAUGAAGGCCUUAGGGUUGUAAAGCUCUUUUACCCGGGAUGAUAAUGACAGUACCGGGAGAAUAAGCACCGGCUAACUCCGUG
rnacentral:rRNA from 1 species